UACGGAGGGUGCGAGCGUUAUCCGGAAUCACUGGGUUUAAAGGGUGCGUAGGCGGCCUGAUAAGUCAGUUGUGAAAUUCCUCGGCUUAACCGAGUGGACUGCGAUUGAUACUGUCAGACUUGAAUCAGGUUGAGGUAGGCGGAAUGUGACAUGUAGCGGUGAAAUGCUUAGAUAUGUCAUAGAACACCGAUUGCGAAGGCAGCUUGCUGGGCUUAGAUUGACGCUGAGGCACGAAAGCGUGGGGAGCAAACAGG
rnacentral:rRNA from 1 species